rnacentral:sRNA from 14 species
GCAAAAAAAUAAAUGCCAAAGAAGAGGACUAGAAGGAAGAAGGUAUCGGUUGUUACGGUGAUUGUAUUUUUCUGUGUUUUGACCUUUGCAUUAUGGUUCUGUUCAUUGAUUUUUGUGGCGCGCAAUAAACAUAGAAUAGAACGAAGACGAAGAUCAAAUAAAGAAGAUGCUUUAUCAGGUCAAAGUUUGGUCAUUGAAGAA